rnacentral:tRNA from 1 species
UGGUGGGUGGCUCAGUGGAUACAGCCUAGGACUUGUGACCGCAAGGUCCCGAGUUCGAAUCCCGCCACAGGUG